GGGGGCCUGUGGGGUCCCUGCACUCGGAGCACGCGGGCUGGGCCCGCACACGGUAAGGGGAGCAGCCCCUCCUGAGAAGGGCGUGUAUGUAGAGGGGUGGGAGGGUUCCAGAAACUGAAAACAGCUCCUGGCCUCAGCGGUGCCGACAUGCUUUUGUAACGAAUUGGCAGUCUGAAGUUCUGAGGAGCCCACCUUCAAGACAGAUGGCAAGCCGCCCACCCCUGACCUACAGGCCUGCCCAGCUUGGAGCCGCCCCAAUCCCACCCCUCUAUUCCGAGCGAGCGAGCGAGCGAGACUUCAGCCGCCACUCCGCUUGCCCCACCGGGCGCCUUCCCAGCGCUGCCCAUCGCAGGCUCUCCUGCCCACCGUCCCCAAUCGCCACGUCCCUGGCGCCGAAAACCAAGAUAAGUGCUUGCUGUCCCUGCCAGGGCUCCUGUAGGUGCCCUAGAGAGAGAAUGCCGCUUCCACCCACAGGGGGAGAGAAAGGAGGCUGAGAAAAGGGGCAGAGCAAAGGGAAGAAGAAAAGAGACUAAAAAAUAAACUGGAACUUACAUACACGAACAUCUUAGCUGCAAGAAAUAGAAACUGAUGUCCAGUCUUGUUUUUAUUGCCCCAAACCACUGAGCCCUUUACUGCUGCCCAAGAUGGCUCUGAUCCAGACCCCUGGCUUGUACCAAAGCUUCGGUACCCUUUCCAAUGCUGCACCCUGUCAGAACACCCAGCCCUGGCGUGAAACCCCAGCGCGGCUGGUACUUCCCACCUCCCCGCCUCAGUCC